GCUUGGAAGCAACCAUGGAUCUGUGUUGGUAUGGGACAGCACAGAGUUAUGGAUGCAACUUGUGAGUACUUGGCAUCAGUGCAGUGUGGUAGGGUCCGAAGUCUUGGUGUUGAAUGGAAAAGGUCGGAAUUACCACAAGACUGCAAGGUGGGUAUGUUGCAAGACCAGGCGUUUGGAGGUGAGUUGCCAGAGGGGACUCAUGUGAUGGGCCGCUUCAAGACUGGUGGAUAGGAGUUAAGCCUUGGAAGAGUCUGAGGAAUGCCAUGUA
rnacentral:lncRNA from 1 species